ACCAUUCCCCACGACGAAGCCCCUACCACAUCACCCACGCGUGCGACUACCAUCACAAUAAGUUUAACCUUCGAAAGCAUUCGGGAGAUUUCUUCCCCUUGAGUGAUAGACUAAUAAAAACCUCAACUGAAAACUCGUGCAGAUAAUGGAUCCCAACCCGGUGGAUCCGGUCAAGAAUGAAGAUAAGAAAAGUGCAAUCAAAGAACGAAUGGCUAAGAUGAGAGCAGAGAACUUGGCAAUCAUGCGGGAGUACACAAAGCAGAAAAUCAACAAUUCCAGGAUCGAUCGUAAAAUCUUAGUGAAAUAUGCACAAUUCGUUGCUGACGAGAUUUACGGUCCUUAUGGGCUCAAAACUGUUACCGCAUUUAAAAGGAAGUAUGGAUUGAGAUUGGCCAAGUUGUCAGUACGAGGAUUCAUUGAAAGGAUAUCAAAACAACUCUACACUCCACUCCUCGACGGAGCAGAUGAGUUCGAGCUAAAUGUUGAACAGCUGAAGAGAAUUCGAUUGAAACUCAAAGAGAAGGAGAAGAAGAGGAAAAAGAAAAAAUAAAGAAUUAUACUAUUUUGUGAUACGAUCUUGUAAGCUAAAAACUAAGAAUAGAAUGGAAUUCUCACUCUAAAUAAAAUAAUUAUGAUUAUUCAGGAACAAAAAGGAGAUAUGCCUUGUUUACGAUAAUUUGAUGGAUGUUUACAUUUUUUUUAAUGUAAUGGGACGGGCCAGGAAAGUGAAAUUAUGGGAAAGACAAUACUGAGUUUUGUUCUGGUAAUUGUUGAAACAAUAAAGGACUGAGUAUUA